UCGCUGUGUCUCUCUCUGUCAAAUAAUAAUAUCUUUAAAAACAAACAAACAAACAAACAAAAAAAAACCGGGUAACUCUUCAGGUAGUCCUUGUCUCUUUAGUCAGUAUGUUAUUGGUCCUUGGGUGCCAACAGAGAUAUUCUGUCAUUAUUAAGGAUUAAAAAUAUCCUUAUCCUGAAAAAAACACUCCAGGGACUAACAGAUCUCAGUCCCGAUUAUUACCCUAUAAAAAGGGUUGGCUUUGGGGGCUUAUGUUCCUGUUUUAAGCAGCCUAGGACUGGGACAGUUUUCUCCAUUGAGAAAAAAAGCCUUGAAAUAAUGUGUGUAACAGCGAAGUAAGCCUCAGGAUGAAUCAUGUGAGUAUUAGUACUGCUGAACCAAUGGCAUUCCAAAGCUGCUGGGGUCCCUUAGGUUUACAGAUGACUGCACUGAGCUGGUGUAUUUGCUCUGUAUGCCCCAACCCAAACCACACAGGUGGAACAGACUGCUGCCACAGCACUCCCUCCUUGCUGCUUGCUGUUGCUAGAGGGUAUGGCUGUGGGUCUCAGGGUCUCAGAGAGAGCCUGCUAGAUGGGACCCCCUGAUUCCCGUGCCUUGUCCACAGCUCAGCAGCGGAGGUGCCAGGGUGGAAGGCAGAGUGAGGCCCUAGGGCUACUGCAGCAUAUCUUUCUCAUGUACAAGGUCACCCACGACCCCUCUCGCAUUUGUUACCUGUCACUUCAUUUCUCUUGGAGAGGGACAAGGAGAAGGGAAAUGAAUUGAUUACAGUGGUGUAUUACAGGGCACUACCUUUCAGCAUCUUGAACUGGACUGAGGAACUGAGCAGUGGUGCACUGAGUGGUCCAGUCUGCAUUUAAGGGAGGAAAGGGUAGGAAAAGAAGGAAAGGUAAUUUCUGGCACCGGCUCUCUCCUCUCUCAGCUCCCAGUAAUACUUAGGAAGCAGAGUGGGUGGAACUAAGCAUAUUUGCAAAAACAGAUUAGCUCCGAUGCAGGCUGAAAAGUAUUUUCUAUACAACGUGAACUGAGACCCCCCUGUACCCUUGUCCUAUGUGCUUCAGAUAAAAUUUUUAUCAUGUUUCCUAGGUUAAUAUGCCAGAGCAUGAACUAAGAGUGGUCUUCAUCUUAGCCCCAGGUUGACUUGCAGGCAGCGGCUGGCCCAGCCCCUUCAUUUGGGGGAAAGCAGGGCAGGAGAGGGAUGGGAGUGGCAGACGUCGCUGGAUAAGGCUGGGGCCAUCUGCACUACUGUGAAUCAAGGUUGGCUCAGACAGAAGGCGCGAGGGAGGAGGUGCAGCUGCUGAUGGCUCAGACAGCUUGGACCUGUCCAGGCAAACAAGCCGCUCAAGUGCAAGAACAGCCAGCCAAGUAGGCAGAGCACGAAUAAGGACUUAAAGCUUGAAAUAUCUGACAAGAUAUGGAGGGAGGGUAGGAAGCUGUCUGGGAUUUCAACUGGUGUCUGGCCUUGCUUCUCACUGCUAAGGCAGACUCUUCUGCUACCGAAGGAUGGAAUGUGAUAUCUGGGAGCCAGUGGGCAAGCUAUUCUUUGAGCUAAAAUCUUAAAAGAAAUAUUCAUCUUAAAUUGCAAAGACAGUUCUGGACUGUUCUCCCUCACUAAUGCCCUCUAAAACAAAAUCAAACCAUUGUCCACAGAUAAUCCAUCUCUGCUCCAGUCACCUGCCCAAGGUUAAGAGCAUUGGGCCGUGAGAGAGAGAGUGUGUGGGGGCUGAGGGUGGGGGACACAACCACACUGCACCAUCAAUCGCACAGUCUGGGAACAGUCUCAGACCAGCUAAGGAAGGCGACGUGGGGUGUGCAGAAGAGGCAAAUACACGCUCUCCUCUUCCGCCUUCCAGGGCGGGUGGUGGUGGGGAGGGCAAGGCCAGCAGUGGGAUGUUCAAGCGCUAUUACAGCUCCUUCUGGUGAACACUCUUUGAGACAAUGGUUCUCAGUCCCAAGUAUAUACUGUCAGCACUAAGGAGCCGUUAGAAAAUACCAAUGUUCAGACUCUAGAUCAAUUACAGAGGCAUCUCUAGGGGUGGUGACAGGAUUUCGAUAUUUUUAAAAAUAUAGCCCGGUGGUUCAAGGGCAGGCUCAGGAUUAGAACCUCUGCUUUUGAGUCUAGAGGGAGCAGGGGAAGACUCAGUGGUCACGCUGGUUUCUGACAGGCAGGACAGUCCUGUCACUAAUGACAGAAGCUUUAGCUGAGCUAGUGCCCCUGGGGUUUCACUGAGGUUCAGGAGGAGUAACUUCGGAGAGAGCUGGCCAAGUAUCAAUUGACUGCCCUGGAAAAACAAAGGGAAACACUCCUACAAACAUAUCACCCUCCUAAGAGCCCCAGGUGAGGAGGGAGAGGGGACAGACUGCUCAGAGGCCCAUGAAUAUCAAAUGGGAGAAACCAAGGCACAGGGAGACUACCAUUUAUUCUACCAUAUAUUCUACCAUAUAUUAUUAUUAUUUAUACCAUUUAUACCAUAGUGGAAAGAGAAACCCUCCCUAGUCACAUAGGCUGCUCUACAAGCUAACUCAGGAGGGGCUCAGUUCAGGCUCAUAAGCCCAAAUGAAUGAGAAGCUACUUCUAAAAAAUGCCAGGUUUCUGACCCCUAGCCUAGUGGCAUUCCCUGCCACAGCCCUCCUUUGGUUCACUUCCUCAUCUAUAUGCUUACUUAGAGCCAGUACAAUGACUGGCACUGUGCCAGGUGCUGAGGAACAAUGGAGAUGAAAGACUUGGUUCUUGCCCUUGAGGAGUUCCUACCGUGGGGGAAACAACAAGAUGGACAGCCUAAGGGUGGCAACAAGGGGAGAUAAGUACUAGGGAGCAUAGGGGAGUCAGGGAAAGCUUCUGCCUCCUCCCAUCCAAACAGUCCAGUGAAGGCCACAUGGCCUGGAGUUUUACAUUUUAGUGACUCUGAGGCUACUUGUUCUUCUGAGUGGGCAGAGGAAGAAAAUGCCCGUUUGAAUUCUGGAUGUAGGCACCAGAUAUAGUGGUAGGACCCACACUGAUUCAGACCUGGGGCAAGACAGAUGCUCUGGGCCCUCCUACAGAGGGGCAGGGGGUGACUUCUGCACCUUUCUCAAGCUGGUUUGCUGAAAGGACUGUUCCAAGUCUUCCCCAGGGAGUAGGAAGAAGGACACCCAUGCACUUAGUAAACAUUAUUGGUAGCAGAGCUCUGGGCUGGUCGAGUGACCUUGGGCAGUCUGUAGCUUUCCCUCUGCUUCAACUUCCCUUAGCAACACACAGACUUGCUUAUAAGUAUACAUCACAAAGCCCCCUGAAUAAAGAAGAGCCAGCAGCUUGCUCAUGAAUGGAGAGGUGCUAAGUCAGGGUCCUAAGCCAGGCUGUGGUAUUUAAAUGUAGCAUGGAAGCUUCCAGCCAGAGCUCCAGAGCACCAUUUAGUUGGGCUGCAGCAAGCUUCUGUUUAUCCCACCUGCUGAGCAGCCAGAGCAAAAUACUGCUUGGGAGUUAGGACAGGUGCUGAAGACACAAAAGGGCCCUCACACACUUGCACACAGGACUGAGAGCACAUGGACUCCCGGGAAGGACAGGGAGGUGCAAUUUCAGCCCCCUCGCCCCUCACUCUAGCUUCAGCAAAACCCCACUAGGUAAAGUGCUGAACACUAAGGAAAUCAGAAUCCUCCUGUGCAUGUGUCGCCACGUAGUGGUCUUUUAUGGUCCUGGUGUGGCAAGAGAGGUCCUCAGCGUGGUAUGCAGGAGUGCUGGCAAGUGACAAGGCACGUAAAGCCCAAAGCACAACAGCUUUUGGGGCUGGGUGGUACUGAGGUCACUCAGUAGAACAAAGCUGCCUAGUUGUCCACUCUGAAUUCCCAUUCUAGGUGUCAUCUGUUCUUUGUGCCCAAGCUGUUCUUCACCUCCUCAGGAGCUGAUGGUCCAGAUUACUUAUGGGAACUUAUCCUGAAAGGUCACUCUUAGGUUACGCAGAGCCCCAAGUCAGAGCUGAUCUAGGGUGUGGGGAUCCAAAUUUAAUCUUCUAAACCACCGGUUCUCAACCUUAUCUGAACAUUAGAAUCCCCUGAAGAGAUUCUAAGUUCUUUUAAAAACAUUUUUUUAUUACUGAAAAAACUCAGAUUUGAGAAAUUUGAAACACUGGAACUAGAGAAUAGUUACGAACUCCCAUAUACCGACCAUCCAGAUUUAGUAAUUAUCAAAACAGAUCUGCUCCAUCUAUCCCCCUUUUCUUUGCUGACGUAUUUUAAAGCAUACCCCAGACAUGAUGUCACCUCACCUUUCCAUACUUCAGUGAGGAGGAACACAAGCAGUGGGGA